UAAUGCUGUUUCUUUUUAUUAUUAUCUAUUAUGAGAAAUGUUACAUACAGAAAAAAAGAAAAAAAAAAGAUAUUAUCAAAGAAAUUGGAAAAGGUACUAAAUAAUACUUAUAUUAUAGGUACAUGGAAGUACACCAACAAAUGCUUACCAACCUGAUAAUAGAUGAAAAGAGAUCCAGCUGAGGUCAUCGUGGGAGGAGAAGACAGCGAAUUGACAAGAGACAGGAGUUCCUUCGCGCGUGAGCUGGCGACUUCUUAUUUAUGUACAGGUAAAAUUAACUGGUCAUAAUUGUGCAAAAUAAUCACAUAUCAAUUUUCAGAAUCACAAAUUCUUUAUGUGUAACCAUAUGAUUUGAUUUUUAUCAUUUACUUUCGUUUUUACGAAUAGUUUCUCUUUUAUUGCACAAUUACGUCCACUCAAGGGUUAUAAUAUUACGUGUAAUUUACUCCUUACAUUUCUAUUUUCCGUCUGUCUGCAGUUUCUUUACAUCUUUGUGCAAAUAGACAGUUCAUUAACAAAUGUUAUGAUCUAUACGGGCGUAUGCAACUGUAUAUUAAGAUUAUUAAUAUACAUAUAAUUUUCUAUAAUUUUGUAUAACAGUAGCAAUUGUUUAAUUGUUAUAAUUGUUUAAUUGAGAUAUUUCUAUGACGCAGUAUAUAUAGAAUUAUGCAUUAUUACAGAGAGAACGUUAAAAUAUUUUUUAUGCAAUCGUAUCUAUAAAUGAUUGCAAUGGAAAUAUGAAUGCUUGUGUAAUUUUAGCUAUUAAUUACUGUUAUCAACAAAAAAAUGUUCACAGGUAAAAGUUCAGGUAAAUAUCGUUCAACUAUAGUAUUGUACUAUUGUACAAUGUAUACAUUGCACUAUGGUCUAUGUAAAACUUCAUCCAGAAAAGUAUACUAAAUUAUUAGAUAAAAAAAUAUCAGAGUUGGUUUGUAAGUUACACGUAAUAAUAUUUAAUAAGCAUGAUAUUCGUUUUCUAUAAUCUUCUUUUUUAUCUUAAUUCACGUUCUUGUUCUUGCUUUCUGGUAAAUUGCAACCAUAAAGGCCUAUUUGUUACUUAUAUAAUACACAAUUAAAGCAUGUAAUUAUCUAAAUGAUAAUUAUCCAUGUGUAAAGCUAAUUACAAGCUAUAUAGACUUUAUCCGUGGAUGCACACAUGUAUAUUUUGUUUUCAUAUUAUUCGAAAGAUUAUAAUGUAUUCGAAAUCUGAAACGUAAGAACACUACAGCGUUGUUUGGCACGAUCAAGAGGUAUUUGCAAUCGUUUUAUGACAGCUACUUUUUGCGUCAAUCACUUUGGCCUAUUGGCCCAAUUUAAUCAAAAUUCAUGGAAAAGCUACGCGAUCUUUAUUUUUCUUAUAUAUCCUUAGUUCGAUAAGAAAAAAGGAAAACAGGAACAGUUAUCAUCCAAAAAUUGUACUUCACAUUCUAAUAUGAAAUUAAUGUUUAAUGUUAAGAAAAAUAAUUAAUUAUAUUAUAAUUAAUUAAUUAAUAAUAUUAAAUAAUAGAAAUAAUAUUAGAUUAAAUGCAAAGUUUAUUAAGUUAAAAGCGUCUAAUAAAUAUUUUAGAUUCGUUUCCAUGAAUUUUGUUUUUAAAUUCUUAGCAGCUGAUUUGCAUUGUUCAGUUAUCACAUGAGAUCUGACUUCUAAAAACUGAGACGGAUUUAAUUAUGGCCAUUUGUUCUUCUUGUACAGUAUCAAUGUACAUGCAAGUAUUUAAAUGUACGACUACAUAUCAUUUAUAUGGUAUACAAUCUCGUUGUAUAUUGAAUUUUGGUAGAUACAUACAUACAAACUUACGCGAUGAACAUUUGCAUUCAGAGUCAAACGCAAGCAUCUAUACAUUGUAUAACACUGUAUAAAACGCGGCUAAUUAUUUUAUACUUUUAUAAAUUCCAGCUAUCUUUCUUUGGCACGAAUUUGAUAAUCACACGCAUUACGAACAUUGAAAAUACCAUAAUUCCGAAACUAUUCUUCAUUCGUUCAUUAAUCGUUCCAUCGUACGUUUCGCAUUUUCACAAGAAUAGUUCUGACACUAUAUAUAUGCUAAAUAUAGUAUAUGUUAUAUUAUUCUAGUUAUAAUCUUAAUUGAUGCUUAAGUACGCAUUUUUUGAAUUAUUUUUAAGAGCGCUUCUUUCAUUGCACUGUUUCAUUGUAAUAUUGAUGUUUAUGAUUUAGGGUGCCCCAAAAAUCUGUUACUGUAUUUACAUUUAGGAUCUAUAAUUUUCAAUGAAUUUUGUGUUAUCUAAUAAGUAGUUUUCAAGUUAAUUCGAGAUUUAGAUGUGAUCUCCCUGUUAUUGAGCCAUAAUUUGAUAAUGAUAACAAACUUAUGUUAGAUGUGAGGUAUGUAUUCUUCGUCUUGAUGCUUUGUAAAAUGAUAUUUGGAGACAUCAUAAUACUAGGUAAAGUUGUUUUGCAGUAUCCCUUAUUGAUAUUGCAACAUUGCAAUUUCCGUGUUUAACAAAAUAUGUUAUGUUCAAAGAGUCAUGAAACUUCCUAACAUCGUAUGAGAGUAAUAAAAUGUCGAAAAAUCUUAUCACUCUGUUGUGGACAAGCUUACAGCGCAGAAUAAAUAGUUUAAUAAAUAAUUACUUUCAGCACUUUAGUACUCAAAGGAUCACAGAUGCAUUACCGUCUCAAUCGAUCAGUAAAAAUAAAAACAUUCAAUAAAUAUAUGCA